rnacentral:rRNA from 1 species
AUGAACGCUGGCGGCGUGGAUAAGGCAUGCAAGUCGAACGGUUUCAAUAAGUCCCGCAAGGGAUUUGUUGAGACAGUGGCAGACGAGGUAGUAAUAAGUAGGUACGAACCUUCGAGUCGUGAAUAGUCCGCCGAAAGGCGGAGUAAUACACGAUGGUCUCUCCGGAGUAAAUCCGUCUCUGACGGAGCUUGAAGAUCGGCCUGCUCGGUAUCAGCUAGUUGGUAGGGUAACGGCCUACCAAGGCGAUGACGCCUAGGGGACCUGAGAGGGUGACCCCCACCGAUGGCACUGCGACACGGGCCAUACACCUACGGGUGGCUGCAGUCGAGAAUCUUCCACAAUGGACGAAAGUCUGAUGGAGCGACGCCGCGUGAUGGAUGAAGUUCUUCGGAACGUAAACAUCUUUUAUUGGGGACGAAUCUGCCGUAAGGCAGUUUGACGGUACCCAAAGAAUAAGGGGUUGCUAAACUCGU